CUUGUUGGAAACCAUGAUUCGUACGAAACUUAUUUCAACAGAAAAUAGAUUGAUAUAUCUUUCGACAAUAGCCUUCUUGAGGGUAUUGGAGCAUAAUUGACAAUCUGAAGUAUUUAUCCAAUGAGCCUCUCGAAUUCUGUCAGAAAUCGAGCUUUGAUCGAUUUCGCAUCUUCUGUUUUCGUUCGUUUGGAAAUAGAUUUUGUUCAGUUCCC
rnacentral:lncRNA from 1 species